UGCGUAGGUGGUGAUGCAAGUCUGGUGUGAAAUCUCGGAGCUUAACUCCGAAAUUGCACCGGAUACUGCGUAACUCGAGGACUGUAGAGGAGAUCGGAAUUCACGGUGUAGCAGUGAAAUGCGUAGAUAUCGUGAGGAAGACCAGUUGCGAAGGCGGAUCUCUGGGCAGUUCCUGACACUGAGGCACCGAAAGGGGCCAGGGGGAAGGCAAAACGG
rnacentral:rRNA from 1 species